GACGAACGCUGGCGGCGUGCUUAACACAUGCAAGUCGAACGAUGAAGCCGGAGCUUGCUCUGGCGAAUUAGUGGCGAACGGGUGAGUAACACGUGAGUAACCUGCCCUUGACUCUGGGAUAACUGCUAGAAAUGGUAGCUAAUACCGGAUACGACCCUCGGAGGCAUCUCCAGGGGGUGGAAAGAAUUUCGGUCAAGGAUGGACUCGCGGCCUAUCAGCUAGUUGGUGAGGGAAUGGCUCACCAAGGCGACGACGGGUAGCCGGCCUGAGAGGGUGACCGGCCAGACUGAGACUGAGACACGGCCCAGACUACUACGGGAGGCAGCAGUGGGGAAUAUUGCACAAUGGGCGCAAGCCUGAUGCAGCAACGCCGCGUGAGGGAUGACGGCCUUCGGGUUGUAAACCUCUUUUAGUAGGGAAGAAGCGAAAGUGACGGUACCUGCAGAAAAAGCACCGGCUAACUACGUGCCAGCAGCCGCAGUAA
rnacentral:rRNA from 1 species